AGUAAAGUGGCGCACGGGUGAGUAAUAUUUAGGUAACACACCCUUCCGCUGUGGAUAACCAGACGAAAGUUUGGCUAAUACAGAAUAGUCUAGUUGAAACUGUGGUUUUAAUUAGUAAAGCCGUAAGGCGCGGAAGGUCUGGCCUAAAUCCCAUUAGCUAGUUGGUAGGGUAACGGCCUACCAAGGCUACGAUGGGUAGCUGUUCUUAGAGGAAGACCAGCCACACUGGAACUGGAACACGGUCCAG
rnacentral:rRNA from 1 species